CCGAAAUUUCUUACAACUUUUUAAAAUGAGAACUCAAACAAUCCAAUUUACAACUCUUGUGACAUUACUUCUAGUGUUAUUAAUCAAAAUAGAGGGAGAUUCAAAGUCUGUUUCAAUUCCAAAUGGUGAAGUGAACAAGAACUUCAUGACCAACACUGUUGCUAAAAAAGUUGGUAUGGAUGAUUUAGAACCAUUUAACUGUAGCACAAGACCAUUGAUAUGUAACGCUGGAGAAAUUCCUCCAAGAAGUGUGUGUUGUAGAAACAAAUGUGUAGAUCUUACUUCAGACUCAUACAAUUGUGGGUUUUGUGGAUUAGCUUGUCCAUUUAAUUUGCAAUGUUGUAACCGGUUGUGUGUGAACACAAAUUUUAGUCCUUUUAAUUGUGGUGCGUGUGGAAGGGUAUGUCCCAUUGGAAGGUUUUGUUUUCUUGGCGCGUGUGCGCUUGGAAAUCCAUCUCAAACAUCACUUAAUCAUCCAUCAAUUCCAAAAGAGUAAAUUAUAUUAAGGGUGUCAGGAUGUAGGUUGGAUUAAUGAAAUAAAUGUUUUCUAUCAUAAUAGAAGAAUAUCAUUUAUUAUUUAUAA